UCAAUAAGAAGAAUCCAAUACAAAACAAAACACUACACUUAUACAAACAUCAGAUACAGAGAUAAAUGAUGUUUUCCCUUACAUAAACAGAUGCAGAUAUAGAGUUCAGUAGUGCAAAAAACACAGUCACUGGUAUAGAGAUAUGUGUGGGGGGGAUUGAUCUUGUCAGCUGAGUCAUUUUUCAUACACUCAACAAGUGGAUGAGUAUAUGUGUGUGUGUGUGUGUGUGUGUGUGUGUGUGUGUGUGUGUGUGUGUGUGUGUGUGUGUGUGUGUGUGUGUGUGUGUGUGUGAGUGUGUGUGUGUGUGUGUGUGUGUGUGAGAGAGAGAGUAUUGUGUACAAUGUACAUGGACCUGGAAAUGUUUCUGGAUGCUGAACCUGGCUGCUGACGUUCCUUCAUUACUUUUCAUUCCUUCUGUGAUGUUGAUAUUGAUGUCUGUUAUACAGUAAAAUUUGAUUUGAAUGUAAAAGGUUAUCUGUGCGUAGCCUACCUCCCCUGUCACAUUACAAAUGUGAAGAUCCAGGAUGAUGAUGAUGAUGAUGAUGAAGACAAAGCCUAGAAACUUACUCAUCACUAACUUGCAUUCAGGUGUCCAAACAUAGUGAACCCUUGUUGCCUUUGAUAUACAUAUACAGUAUUGUUGUAUGCAAAUAAGUCUUUUGCAUGCAGUAAUUUCGUAUUGUUCUGGUGUAAUGGUUGGUAUGUAUUCCUAAGUCAAGUAUUUUUUAAAAUUCUCUUUUCACAUUUAAACCAAUCACGUGCACUGAUAAUAAAUGCAUCCUAACUGGC